GGAGCGAGCAUGUGGGUCUGCAGUACCCUGUGGCGGGUGCGAACCCCCGCCCGGCAGUGGCGGGGGCUGCUCCCAGCUUCUGGCUGUCGCGGACCUGCCGCCUCCUCCUACUCCGCAUCCGCCGAGCCUGCCCGGGUCCGGGCGCUUGUCUAUGGGCACCACGGGGAUCCAGCCAAGGUCGUCGAAGGUAUAACCAGGGAAUUGUUUCAGAGGUUUCCUUGGAUAUUCCUACAACUGAUAACAGCUGUCAUUUCUUCAGCAUCUACUGUACUCAAGAACCUGGAGCUAGCUGCUGUGGGAGGAUCAGAUGUCCGUGUGAAGAUGCUGGCGGCCCCUAUCAAUCCAUCUGACAUAAAUAUGAUCCAAGGAAACUACGGACUCCUUCCUGAACUGCCUGCUGUUGGAGGGAACGAAGGUGUUGCACAGGUGGUAGCGGUGGGCAGCAAUGUGACCGGGCUGAAGCCAGGAGACUGGGUGAUUCCAGCAAAUGCUGGUUUAGGAACCUGGCGGACCGAGGCUGUGUUCAGCGAGGAAGCACUGAUCCAAGUUCCGAGUGACAUCCCUCUUCAGAGCGCUGCCACCCUGGGUGUCAAUCCCUGCACAGCCUACAGGAUGUUGAUGGACUUCGAGC
rnacentral:sRNA from 1 species